rnacentral:lncRNA from 1 species
UUUGUCCAUAAAUCCUUCAGCUCAUCAACCAGCGGCCUUAAGUAAACAUCGAUUGACCUCCCAGGAUCCUCAGUUAUCAAAACAGUCAUCAUCAUGUAUUCUUUUUUCAUGCAUUUCCAAGGCGGCAAAUUAUAUGGGAAUACAUAAAUCGGCCAAGUGCUGUGGUGUUGGUUUAGAACCCCAUACGGAUUGAAUCCGUCAGUGGCAAGUCCCAAUCUC